GACGAACGCUGGCGGCGUGGAUUAGGCAUGCAAGUCGGACGGUAGGGCUUUAUCGUAAAGAUAGAGUUUGAGAGUGGCGAAACGGGUGAGUAACACGUAGGAAUCUACCCUUAAGACGGGGACAACCCAGGGAAACUUGGGCUAAUACCGGAUGAGAGUGCGAGAGAUUGCGUUUAAAAGGAUGGCGAAAGUUGUCGCUUAGGGAUGAGCCUGCGGUCUAUUAGUUAGUUGGUGAGGUAAGAGCUCACCAAGGCGAUGAUAGAUAGGCGGCCUUAACGGGUGGUCGCCCACACUGGGAUUGAGAUACGGCCCAGACUCCUACGGGAGGCAGCAGUCGAGAAUAGUCUACAAUGGCCGGAAGGCUGAUAGUGCGACGCCGCGUGAACGAGGGAGCCCUUCGGGGUGUAAAGUUCUUUUCUAUACGAGCAGUGCUAUAUAUAUGGAUAGUAUAUAUAGAGGGAUAGUAGUAUAGGAAUAAGCAACGGCUAACUCCGUG
rnacentral:rRNA from 1 species